CUGAAAACAGAUAUCCAAUGUAAAAAAAAAGGAUUGUUAUUGUAUCUUAGAAGUUAUUGUCAUCAACAAUAAUAUACCCAGUUGAAUCUAUGAAGAAAAUUGCCCAGAUGAAGAUAAAACUAAUUCCACUCACCUUAUAUUUCACCCAUUGUGAAUCCACAUCUUGAACAGGUGCUGCCGCUGCUAAAUAAAAAACAGCAAUGAGAACAAAACACAAUACAACUACUUUCAUUUUGAUGUCCAAAAAUAAUCAAUAUAUGUUAAUUUAGAGAUAAACUAUAAUUGUCUGCUUUGAAAGUUAUAAUAC